UACGUAGGGGGCAAGCGUUGUCCGGAUUUACUGGGCGUAAAGAGCGUGUAGGCGGUCCGGUAAGUCAGCUGUGAAAGUCAAGGGCUCAACCCUUGAAAGCCGGUUGAUACUGUCGGGCUAGAGUCCGGAAGAGGCGAGUGGAAUUCCCGGUGUAGUGGUGAAAUGCGUAGAUAUCGGGAGGAACACCAGUGGCGAAGGCGACUACCUGGCCUGUUCUUGACGCUGAGGCGCGAAAGCUAGGGGAGCAAACGGG
rnacentral:rRNA from 1 species